AACGCUAUAUCAACUCCUAAAUAUUUCUGUGAUACAAAUAAAAUUGAGCUUAAAUUAGAUUUUAUGGUCCAUUGGAUACCUAAUUUAAUUUCUAACUUCUUAUCUGAACAAAAACUAAAUCUAAAAGUAAUAACGCUGAAAAUUGAACGUAAGCUUUUUACAUAAUUUCUCUAAAUUAUUUACAACUAUAGCAUACCCUCUUGAAAAUUUACCCUAACCACCGGAGUGAAAAGUCUGAAAUAAUCGAAAUUAUUAAAAACAAAUAAUUUAAAGGAAUACGCUAGAUAAUUCGUCUAGAAAAAAAGUUACUCCGUCUCCUAAUUCAAGCGCCAAUAACGAACAUUAUGAAAAAACUGACCUUUCAUCAUUUUUAGUGCUUCAUUGCUGCAGGAUGCAUCUUAGUGUUUUUGGUCUUCUUAGUGAUCGAUAGCCUUGGCUUCUAGGAUUCUUCGCUGAAUACCUCGGAGACAAGAGCGUGGUAGCAUGUGAAUGGUGCAACCGAAAUUGCGGUCGAGCGACGAGCACAGCAUCGACGG